rnacentral:rRNA from 1 species
AGGAUCAUUACUGAAUUGUCAACAAGAGUUGUUGCUGGUCCUCAAAUGGGGGCAUGUGCACACUCUGUUCACACAUCCACUCACACCCUGUGCACCCUCUGUAGUUCUAUGGUCGGGGGGGCCUGUCCCUCCUGCUGUGGUUCUGCAUCUUUACACACACACACUGUAACAAAGUCUUAUGGAAUGCAUGCCGCGUUUAACGCAAUACAAUACAACUUUCAGCAACGGAUCUCUUGGCUCUCGCAUCGAUGAAGAACGCAGCGAAAUGCGAUAAGUAAUGUGAAUUGCAGAAUUCAGUGAAUCAUCGAAUCUUUGAACGCACCUUGCGCCCUUUGGCCAUUCCGAAGGGCAUGCCUGUUUGAGUAUCAUGAACACCUCAACUCUUUAUGGUUUUCCAUAAUGAGCUUGGACUUUGGGGGGUUUUGCUGGCCUAAAGUCAGCUCCCCUAAAAUAAAUCAGCUUACCAGUGUUUGGUGGGUAUCAUGGGUGUGAUAACUAUCUACGCUCGUGGUUUUUCACCAUAUAACCUUCAGCAGUGGAGGUUCACUGGGGCUCAUAGAUGUCUCUCCUCAGUGAGGACAGCCCUUUGAAUGUUUGAUCUCAAAUCAGGUAGGACUACCCGCUGAACUUAAGCAUAUCAAUAAGCGGAGGAAAAGAAACUAACAAGGAUUCCCCUAGUAACUGCGAGUGAAGCGGGAAGAGCUCAAAUUUAAAAUCUGGCGUGCCUCUGGUCGUCCGAGUUGUAGUCUG